rnacentral:rRNA from 1 species
UACGAAGGGGGCUAGCGUUGCUCGGAAUCACUGGGCGUAAAGGGUGCGUAGGCGGGUCUUUAAGUCAGGGGUGAAAUCCUGGAGCUCAACUCCAGAACUGCCUUCGAUACUGGAGAGCUCGAGUCCGGGAGAGGUGAGUGGAACUGCGAGUGUAGAGGUGAAAUUCGUAGAUAUUGCAAGAACACCAGUGGCGAAGGCGGCUCACUGGCCCGGUACUGACGCUGAGGUGGCG